rnacentral:rRNA from 1 species
UACGUAGGGGGCAAGCGUUGUCCGGAAUCAUUGGGCGUAAAGCGCGCGUAGGCGGCCCGGUAAGUCCGCUGUAAAAGUCCAGGGCUCAACCCUGGAAAGCCGGUGGAUACUGUCGGGCUAGAGUCCGGAAGAGGCGAGUGGAAUUCCUGGUGUAGCGGUGAAAUGCGUAGAGAUCAGGAAGAACACCGGUGGCGAAAGCGCUCUGCUGGACCUUAACUGACACUGAGGGACGAAAGCUAGGGGAGCGAAUGGG